ACCAAAAUCAAAAAGCACGUGCGCUCUUCUUAAAUUUGCACCACGAGUCCUUAACAAAAAGGACUCUUGGUUUUUGAUGUUUAGAUGAGUUGAGGUGCCUAUCUUUGGGCUGCUUCUAGGUGGCAUGACCUAACCCAAAUACACACCAAAUUAGGUUACCAAAUUAGCAAGGAUUGAGAUCAAAUUGAUCUCCCAAGGGGC
rnacentral:lncRNA from 1 species